ensembl:lncRNA
UGCAAGCCCUCCCUAGAACAACUGCGUUUUAUAUACUGUAUUAUAAGUAUCGCUGAGAAAGCCCGUGUAAUGAUUAAUGCAAUGAGAACUACACAAGUGCGUCAGUGCGCGAUGUAGGCGGAGGGAGGUGGUUCCUCGACCCUCGCUGUCAUAGCAACAGCAAAGGUGGAGCGAUAUUUCAACAGAGGGGUUGGAUUGUUUGUUAGUUGAAGUCACGUGACGGGCCGCUGGGGAAUGGGGGCACUUCCUGUUUUACUCCACGGAGACUUGAGACCAGACGCUGUUGUCAGUUUCAACAAAAUGGCUGCUGGAGCGCCACAGACGAAAACCCAGUGAACGCUUCACAUCAGUGCAGUGUCACUUUAAAUGGAUGCAUUGGAAUUUCCCUACCUUCUGAGCGUCGGGACAUUUACUCGCGUGGACUCGUGUACAUACGUAUUAACGAACUAAAGGCAUGCUGAAAUAUUCCCUUUACGCACUUUAUAUAUAUAUCUAUCCAAAAGCAUACAAAAGCUCAAACUGCCAGUGCGCGCGCGUCUGUGUGGGUGUGCGCGUGUGUAGCUGCUCCUAAGGAUCGCCGAGAUGUUACAGCUGAUCAACCUGACGUGCAAAACUGUGGUUUAAUGUCCCUCUCACUGUUUGCACUGGAGCUUUAGAGUUUUUUUCCCUUCUCUCUGGAUAAAUUCCGCUGCAGAUUGAGAGGUGAAUUCCUCAACUGGAAAGUCGGGCUCGCCAUUGCAGCUCAGACUGCGACUGAAUAACAUCUGACCUGUGUCAGGACGGGUAUCGACAACAUCCUCCUCCACCGUGCAGCUCGUGCAUCGCAUUCGAACAGCAGACCGCAGCUGCUCCGUGUGCGAAAUAAAGCCUUGGCACAAAACACGUCACACAAGAGGAGAACCAUUUGAUGGAAGAAAAGAAAAAGAAAAAGCAAGAGGAAAAGAAAAAGAAGGAAGCUGCUCAGAAAAAGGCUGCUGAACAGAAAACCAAAGAUGUCACAUGGACUAUAACAGUGUCCUUACUGUCUUUCUGGGCCUUGAAUGUGUCAGUUGUGUUGCUGUCUAUGGAGGGUCAGAGAGCUCUCGGAUUUCAUCAAAAAUAUCUUAAUAUGUGUUCCGAUGAUGAGUGGAGGUUGUA